rnacentral:misc_RNA from 1 species
GAACGCACAUUGCGCCUUCCGGUAUUCCGGAAGGCAUGCCUGUUCGAGCGUCAUCAAACCUCUCAGAAACAGCUUUAUGUUGUGUCUGGAAUUGAAGUAAGAGAGUCACAAGUUGAUUCUCUGCUUUGAAACUCAAUGGCAAAUUAUGCUCUGCAUUUUUAACGUAGUAACAUUACAAUCGUUAGAAAGCACAGAUGUGUAGCCGAAACCCUCUAUAUUUCUUUAGGUUGACCUCGGAUCAGGUAGGGAUACCCGCUGAACUUAAG